GAUGAACGCUGGCGGCGUGCCUAAUACAUGCAAGUCGAGCGAACAGACGAGGAGCUUGCUCCUCUGACGUUAGCGGCGGACGGGUGAGUAACACGUGGAUAACCUACCUAUAAGACUGGGAUAACUUCGGGAAACCGGAGCUAAUACCGGAUAAUAUAUUGAACCGCAUGGUUCAAUAGUGAAAGACGGUUUUGCUGUCACUUAUAGAUGGAUCCGCGCCGCAUUAGCUAGUUGGUAAGGUAACGGCUUACCAAGGCAACGAUGCGUAGCCGACCUAAGAGGGUGAUCGGCCACACUGGAACUGAGACACGGUCCAGACUCCUACGGGAGGCAGCAGUAGGGAAUAUUCCGCAAUGGGCGCAAGCCUGACGGAGCAACGCCGCGUGAGUGAUGAAGGUCUUCGGAUCGUAAAACUCUGUUAUUAGGGAAGAACAAAUGUGUAAGUAACUAUGCACGUCUUGACGGUACCUAAUCAGAAAGCAACGGCUAACUACGUG
rnacentral:rRNA from 1 species